CGGAUAUAGUUUAGUGGUAAAACUUCAGCUUCCCAAGCUGAUAAGGCGGGUUCGAUUCCCGUUAUCCG
rnacentral:tRNA from 1 species